CACGGCUUUCCAGGAAAAACACGGACAUGGACGGGAUUCAGCCUCUUCAUCACGUUCCUGAUGCCUCGAAGCCUUUAAUUCCUGCUGGACCAGCUUUGGAUGAAGCCUGGCUGGAUGCUCCGGUGGGGGGAGGGGGGGGAUCAGGAGACCCUCCCAAAUUCCCUCCCACCAGCACAGGACAAACUUUACGAGCCCUGGUGGAACCCAAAUGCUUUUUCCAACCCCAAAAUCCGUGAGGUUUUUUUUUCCUAAGAAAAACAGAUUACGGUGGAGAAAAGCUUGCCACAGAAAGUUGCUGCUUCCUGGGACAAACUUUAUAUCCCCAUAAAAAUACCAAAAGCCAACA